ensembl:lncRNA
UAAAAAAAAACAAAAAAAAAAAAACAUUCCAUCUGUUUGCCAAAUCAGCAAGUGGUUGCCUUCAGUUGCUCAAAAGUCAGGGACUCUGAGAGGUUUCCUGUGCUACGAGAUAUUUCCCAAGAUUCCCUCUUUAUCGUGCCAACAGUGAACCUGUUUGGGUUUCUGCAGGGAGUAAGAUGUCUCUUCAGGAGAUUUGCCGGCCUGUUGACUAAAAUCAGUCUGUUAAUGCUGGUAUUUGUACAGUUUUUAAUGUGGCAUUAUUUAUCUUUUUUCCCAGUCCAGUUAACAGGGUCCACUGGUGAUGUUUGAUGAUCAGAUCUGAUCGUUUGUUUUGAAGGGCAGAGGAAUUUCAAGGGUGCAUGUUUUGGUACACAGUCUGUCUCUAUGGCACCAGCAGUCUACAACAGUCAACCAAUGAGGAGAGCCAAAUAGAUUGAGCACAUGAUACUAAUUACUGGCUUAUACGAAGACAGGACCCAGACACUGGUGUCACACAUAUAGUACUGUGAUGUUUUGAUAUGGAGGAGGGGUCGAGCGCUGGGUGGGAAAGCUAACUGCUGUUGACAUAAUUCCAAGUCUUUCAAGUGGUGAAAAAAACCUCUAAACCAUACAUUGCCGAUUCCUCCCAGUUUUUUAUGACAAAGGUUUUUUUUUUUUUCUUCUUUUUUUUGAGGAGCAAGUAUACAUAUCAGGGUUUGUUGCAAGAGAAUCUGUUUGUUGUUGCGAAAAGAGCCUUUGUUCGGUGAUGCAUUAAUGUUAAUGUAGGGUGAAUUACGUGCCGAUUUUGAGGCAUAACUUGCAUACUUACAUAUGUUUUCUCUUUUAUAUGCUUUGUUUACUGUGGUCUCUGAUGCAUGUUUCAGCUUAUAUCAGACAAUGUCUGCUAUCCUGGGGGUCCAAGUGGGGCCCAGUUCUCAGCAGCUCUCAAGAAGUCCACCUGAUGAUUUUCUAACUGUAACUGCAUUUUUGAAUGUACGUUUUUUUCUUUCUCCCAUGAGUCAAAGUAUGAAUUCAGUUUUUCAUCUGGACUUUCGCCUUUGAAUGGUGCUGGUAGAAUAGACACAAACUGGAACAUUUAAAAAAAAUGAUAUAUGAUUAGAAAAAAAAUCUGUGGAAAAAACUGAAUUCUUAUUGUGCCCAUAAUUAUGAAUGUAUGAUAUACUGUUAUGUUUGAUGUACUGCCAUGAUUUUAAACAUUGAUUAGAAAAUACUCCUUGCCUUUUGUUUCAAGUAAAAGAAUAUGGAGCUUUAUUAACAUAGUCUUGAGUUGUUGCCACAAUGAUUCUCAAUGAACUCUUGACAUUAAAAGACUUGUAUAUUUUUCCGUGUGCCAAUUUGUAACAUAUUUUCUAAGUGUAUAUUUUUCUUAGAAAGUGCUGUGAAGUCUCUUGCUGUGGCUAAGCGUCCUGCCUUUUCAUGCUGUGAAAAGGAUAUCAAAUGCCAAGAUUAUGGUUUCAAAAACCAAAACAAUUACAAAAAGACAGAAUCGUGGAAGAGUGGAAUUAUGACCCAUGAGAUGAAGCUGUGAAACUUUGUUGAGAAUUUUGUAACUGGACCAAUUUUGUCGUUAGAGUGUUGUGCUAUAGUGUAAAAUAUUGUUGGAAACAGUCAGAAAAAAAUAUUGACAAUUUGUGAUUUCAUUGCUGUUUUAUAGAUUUUCAUGUAAAUUAUUCUAGUAUUACUUUUUUGUUGUAACUGGUACAAAAGUUUCCAUAUUUGUGAUCAAGCCUGUAUGGUGAAAACUGUAAUAUUGGUAACUUGAUAAGUUUUGUAAUCAUGUUUAUGGGAUAAAUAUACAAUAAAAAGAGCUUUUGAUCACUGUUUACAGCGAUAUCCUGUCUUUCACCAGACUUACUACACACAUAAAUGCAUUUUGAUAUGUUCUUCAUUUGGGAGUGAGGGUGGUGACUGCACUCAUUUGGCAUUUAAUUUAGGCUUUUAUGGUUUAAAUAAAUGAAUAUUGUAUAUGUGAUAUGAACGAAUAAUAGUAUAUGUAUGUAUGGACAUUUCAUAGAAGUGAACCGUGCUACCAAAAGAAUGUCAGUGCUUAUUGUGAUGAUAUUAGCCUACAGUAAACGGUGUAGCUGAGAAUAGGAUGGGAAGCA